rnacentral:rRNA from 1 species
GGGUCAGUAGGUUGGUCGUGCCACCGGUACGUACUGGUCUCACUGAUUCCUCCUUCCUGAAGAACCGUAAUGCCAUUAAUUUGGUGUUGCGGGGAAACAGGACUGUUACUUUGAAAAAAUUAGAGUGUUUAAAGCAAGCUAACGCUUGAAUACAUUAGCGUGGAAUAAUGAAAUAGGACGAUCGAUCCUGUUUUGUUGGUUUCUAGGAUUGACGUA